rnacentral:misc_RNA from 1 species
GGAACACCUAAGGCCCUUCAGACGCUCAAAAACUUCUUUCAUUUCUGGCCGUUUAUUUGGUUUUUCAUCCAUACACUGUCUUGUAAGUUCUGUAAUUUUACGUCCAUCCCGACGAUCAAAGUCAGCAUUAUCCUGAAAACAAAGGUCGACAUAUGAAUGCCUGGACUUGUACUCAUUCACGGCCCAAUUAUGAAUUGCCCUCCCUGUAUAUUUUUCCUUGUCAAGAGCUCUCUUGCUUGUAAGAUUAAAGAGCAAAACACCGAAUGCAUAUACAUCAAACUUUACACUGUAUGCAGCAGGACCAUUGUAACUAUAGAAUGGAUCAAUGUAGCCACAAGGACCAAUC